ensembl:lncRNA
AUAUAUAUGAGUAAAUUAGUGUGUCUCUGUGUGAGUGUGUUUGUGCGUGUAGGGUUUUGUGGAUUUCAUGAUUUAUUUGAUAUAUCCAGGGUCUAUUAACCUCACACUUUGGGCCCCCUUCUCUGUCUCCCUCUAGUGUGCAGGCUACUGUUGGUUGCCAAGUGGAGGGUAGUUGUGAUUAGAGCUUGAAGCUUGAGUGUGGGAUGACUGAGGGGGAAAAAGAGAAGCACUGGGAUAAAAGUGGAGGCACUGUGGACAAAAUGAUCAAUGGCAUUGAUCAGGCACUCAAUCAUCAAGUCCAUAUUCUUCUCUGUUUACACUCUCCCAUUGCCACUGUGUUAAACUGAGCGUGCCCUAAACAGCCACCUUAGGGACCCUCUAAAAGCCAACCUCACACCCACCAUUGAUUGACACGUCGAUUAUCUGGGACGCUGUCGACAGGGCAGUUGUUAGCACAGUUGUUAGCCAUCUUUAACAUUAAUGGUGAUGGGGUAGCAGUUGCCUCGAGUUAGAUUCACAACUAAGAGAAGGAGACAUUUAUUUUAAACAUGAACCACUUUAAAUGAAGUGAAACGCAUUCAAAAACUUUUACGAAAAAAUGGCCAAUAGCUAUCCGUCACGUAUUUGUACUAGCGCUUUAUGAUACAGUACCUCAAGACAGUUUCUGCCAGCGCUUCUUAACUUGCCUGUUUCUUCUUAGGUUACCAAUAUACAAGCACAACUGAAAUAGUGGCAAAACAUCGCCUUAAAAGUCUGGGGUGUUUGUGUAGCAAUUGUGUUAUUUUCCACAUUAUCAAUUGGAGGUUUGGGAAACGUGGAUAUCUAUAGUCAUCCCCUUCUAAAUGUACUCAACACCUCAUUGUGGUGUGUGUGUGAGGGGAUGCAUGUGUGCGUCUGUAUGAGAUAAUUGCUUUAAGUAUGCAGACAUGCCUCAAGCUCCAAGCAUCAACCUGUUUCUUCUUUUAUACGUCCUUUACUGCCUCUAAACAGUUUGUUGUCAAGAAGUUUAUAGAUAAUUUAGAGCUUUGCUAAAUGUGUGAUUAAGUUAUACAAAUGCUUCCCUUUUUAGUCGACAUUGGCCAAGCUGCAAGGACCAGUGUCUAUGAAUAUUGUUGCAUCCUAUUUCAGGCUAACAAUCAACUUUCUGCAUGAUGCCUUUGAACAGAGAAUGUUUCAGCCUCGCCCUGACAUAAAGUCUCCGUUGAGGUAUCCUCUAGUUUGUUUUUUACUCUUUUUACCUUAAGCCCCUUCUGCUGCUGCCAGCUUCCAUGGAUCUCUCUUGGUUGGUCAGCACAUUCAAAAUUGUGCUGCCUCUUUACAAGAUUGUCUUUAAUCUUUCGCCUCUUCCAUGUCACCUCAAAACGUGCGGCGCCUGAUAUGAUAAUGAUGUGGACCUGUCCAGGGUGUUAGAGUUAAGCUGGCUGAUUAGGCUCGCCAUCGAUUAGUCUAUCACUCCGCACUGGCUGGGUCUUUGACUUUGGGGGGUGAGCGAGGGGGGGUUGAGGGGCAGAGGGGGGUGGGGGUUGAGUGGCGGGAGUGAUGAAGAUUGACAGUCAUUCUGAAUUCUGAAUGAUUUAAAGUAAAUCACAAAUGUACACAAAACAUAACACAGUCUACUGUCACUAAAUUAGCCUGUUUUCAAAAAAUGUUGUGUUCUUUACCUACCCUUUACUAAAAAUGAAUGUGUGUUUUAAUCAGUUUUCUAGAGCGUCCUUAAAUCCCCCUGGAUUUAACUAAAUUACUGGAUGAAUUAAUAAAUUAUUCAAACUACACAAAUGAUUACACCUUCAGGCUCAAUGGCCGCAUCCUCCUGUAGGCCAUAUUAGUUCAAUUCUUGACACCUUGAGCUCUUCAAUUGGCAUUUUAUGGUUUAUAUACUUUGACUACUAUUGUAUUUUACAUCCUUAUACAUUCCUGUUGAGUUUAUACACUUAAAAUGACUGAUUAAUUAAUGAUUAAUUUUUAGAUUACAUUUUUUCUCUUUCUACUUUGUGUUUAGAUUCUAAUUUUGUUUUUACUUAAAAACAAAAGCUUUAAUGAGUAAUACUUAUACAGCUCAUUUAAUGCAACGAUGCUGUGGUUUGAGGACAUGUGGUUGGAACCAUGAGAGGGGCCCUUCUCUAGAAAUAACUGUCAGGCAAAAUGUUUCUAAUCUUUGUACUGUUAGGCAAUGAUGAAUAAAGGAGCCAUUCUUGGGUUGGCCAGAAUCCAAUAAAAAUUAUUACAUUAAAAAAUAACACCUGGGUUUUUAUGUCCAAAACACGUUUAUAUUGACUACAAUAUUAAAAAUCAAAAACCGAUAAAUAAUGUGGCUCGUCUUUAUUAUGGCAUGGCAAGUUGAGCAUAGCAUAUUAUAUAUUAAUGAUAAUUCAGACUGCUUACCAUAAAACCUUAAAACCUUAAGGGAUUAUUAGGCAACAUUUCAAUACAAUUUUAAAAUUGGUAACUGAAAAUCAAACAACGCUUAAAUGGAAUAAGACUGGGAUAGAACACAAGCAUAAAGUAACAGUGCAGUGUAAGAAAUGUUUUAAAUUUUAAAAAAAAUACGUUUUCAAAAACGAUAUGCCUCUUUCUCUGUAAAUCUUUGACCCUGGAGACAGAAUGUAGAUUAACUGAGUGGUCUAGAUGAUUCUUAAUGGAGAAGAUCGGAAAUGGUUAAUCGUUAAUCUAUGUGAAUUAAUCUGGCAGAGAUGCGAUAAAAUAUUUUAAUGCCGAUAACGCUACUUUGUUUACUUCCGGUCUUCCAGUGUGCCGAAAGUAAACAAAGUUGACCCCGGAAACAAAACCGCCACCAGCUGCAGUCAGUUAGAUCUGAGCGAGCAAGUCGGCAGCUGAAGACUGAGGGAGCUUUUUGCAUUAGAAGUAAAACAAACAGAGGCGUGACAUACAGCGGAGAACUGUGCAUCACAUGUCAAACAGAAGGGGGAUGACUGGCAAACGGACGACUUUACGCACCGCCAUGAUAAGCUAGCAGCUGGGCUACUUCCAUCUCAACACCUACCCUGCAGAGGACCACCACAGUGUUAAAAAACAAAAAAGUAAUGGCGAGUUAUGUAUUUAAAAUGUGCAAUUAGUUCUAUUGACAGGCCAAGUAUUUUUGCACUAAAACGUUAAGAACUUUAUAAAACAAUAUUAGUAUUUUGAUAUCAAAACUGAAUCAAGAAACAUGUACAGGUAUUUUGUUAUUUUCCAUGACUGUUUGUUUAGAACAAUAUGCUUCUUCCAAUGUUUGCUGCUUCCCCAUUCCUGUAAAUGCACUUGGUAUUGUACGUUACAACAACUACACACUGUAUAGAAAUCCUCAAUUAUCCCUCACAAAGCUCCAUUUUACUCCAAUUAGCUACAGAGUCUCUCCGCCGGUGAUUUAAUGCAGGGAUUGAGUGAAGGGCAAAGACUUGAUCUAGACUUCCUUGUUUACUGAAAUAAUUGAUAUUAUCAGAAUGUUGGUGAUUAAUGGAAUUACUGAAGAACACCAUGGCUCAGAAGCUUUGCUUGAAUUUAGAGCUCAAGAAUCACAUUGCAUUUUUCCCUGGAGUCAACUAAUUAGUGUGUCGAGUUAGGCUGGCUGUAAGAUUAGAGAGAGAUUGGAAAACGUAAGAAGUGAGUCUAAUAGCAAAGUAAGUCCUGUGCUUCCAUAACAUCUCCAUUUUGGUUGGUAUACAAAAGAUGAUUAUCACCUGAGCAACACUGCCUUUUUAGGGCCAAACAGCAAUCUGUGUUGGGCUUGAGAAACUAAUUGAACUUUUAAUGAUCUAAACGUCAAUUUAGAUCACGGGAAAGUCCACCCACGUUUUUAUCAUUUUGUCAACUCACUGCACCUUUGUUGCUGUAUCCGCUUCAUGCUACACUGCAACAUAACAUAUAACAGCAACGCAGGAUGUAAGCUUUAACCAACCUAGUCAUGUCCUCUUCCUCUUCUCCUUUUACAAAUUAUUAUUAUUGUCUCUUUUGGAAGGUUAUUCUUUUGUUUCAGUUUUAGUUUAUUUAAUAAUUUAAUAUUUCUAUCUUAUUAUAUUGUAUAUAAUGUGUAUCUUUUUAUUCUAUUUUCUUCCCUGUACAUGCUGCUGUGAUACCAAAAUUUCCCUCUUGAGGGAUCAAUAAAGUAUCUAUGUGUUGUACAAAUACCCAACCUAAAAAAUUGCAAUGGUCAUAGAGAAAGGUGCUGAACACAGGGGGAGCAAAAAAGCUGGGGCAUAACAUAACAAAUUAAGAUGCAGAGAUCCCCGGUCACCCUAUGCUGUGAAUGUUUGGUAAAAAAAAUCUGCUGCAGGCAAAGCCUUUGUAGAUGAAUACACAUGUUUAUACAAAUAAACUAUUACUUUGUUAAGAGACUAUAUCCUUUGCUAGGAUCCAGCACUAAACAUUUACAUUUCUGUAUAUUUCCAUUAAAUUCCAUCUAGAUGAUUUUGGGGAUGAUUCUAAAGCAACGUACUUCUUCAGACUUAAAAAUACACUUGCAUAUAGCGUACAAUACAUACUUUCUCUGAAUGAAAGACUUCUGGCUGACGGGAGAACGGGUUGUAAUGAAUAGAUAAAAAGUGUGAGUCAAUUGCACCGGAUUGAGAGGGCCACCAUGGGAGAUGCAGUAUGCGGGUGGAUGAGAUAAGCCAGUCAUCUUUCUCAACUAGCAGAGCCUCCUGAGAUCUAUUAAUAAUGAAACAACAUGCUGGUUUGUAAGGAUUCGCGUAUCAUGAAAAUGGCUUUUUAGGUGCUGUUACAGACCUUUUACCUCUCUGCUUGGUUCGCACUAGCGCAGGAGUUUGUGAAAGGCACAGUGGGAGUACUCUUUGCCCUCCUGGAGAGCUUUUUAGUUACUGGUGUUUUGUGUGUAGAGUGCAGGGUUGUGGAGACAAUCUGUUGGACGUUCUGCCACAGCCAGAGAGGCCCUUCAAGGCCCGGCUCGCCUCACUUACAGCACUGACUUGGCUGGAUUUUGUUUUAUUUUUUACCCCUGUUUAUGCACUGUUUUAGAAUCUUAACAUUCAGUAGUAGUUUAGGGUUUGGUGGGGCACCUGUCUGGUCACAAUGUCAGACAUUCUCAACAGUAUUUCAAGUCAGAGACUGAGCAAUGGCUGAAACAGCUGAAUAAUUUAUAUGAGGACAAAGAAUGGUAGAAGUGAGAAUGUUUCAACUUUAUUUCAGAAUACAACAGGUACCAAUGUCUCCAUAUCAUACCAGCCUUUCACAGGGAACUAAAGCAUUAUUCUCCGCAUGCCUGUCUGCCAUUAUUUGCAAUGCUGAUUGAUAGCUCUUUCUCUAACCGCCUCCAUCACACACUGCAACUGUGGUUUGUUGCCUCUAUUUCUGUCCUCUUUUGCUUUUGCUCAGCUUCUAUCGCUUUCUUUGUGUCUCUGUAGACUGUGAGCUGAUAUCCUUUGAAAAGGUAAUGAUCCCACUGUGUUGAGAUUAUGUAUGUGAGCUGCACAGUGUAAUGGCCUGGCUUUUCAUUGCCUGCUGCAUGCUAAUCCCACAACUGAAGGAAUGAGAUGGCACCUGCAGGGAGCUGUGUGCAAGCUGCAGCCUCACAUGAAAGAAUGGCCAUUAAAAAUGAUCAAAGAAAUUACUGCACUUGGCUGCACAACAUCUCUCACGCCUGGCUAGGUGCACAUCCCUCUGCCCUAACACGCGCAGAGGCAUGCACACAUAUACACAUGCAUAAACUAAUUAGUAUCUUUUUCUGAUGGAUAUUUUCCAAGUGAUCCUCUGUGGAAAUGUCCUGCGCAUCGUUGCCUUAGGCUCUCUGCAGAUGAUGCACCAACACUUGUAGAUAGGAAAUGGAGGACAUGCGUGAGUUCAAAAUGAUGUCUGCUCUCUUUACCCUGACCACAAAUUAUUCAUGGAUGUAUUACCCCAAGUGUUCUCCUACUAAAUUUUUAUCCAACCUUUUCUUCAGAAGUUGCCUGCUGUAUUAAGACAUUAUUUCAAAGAGUAUUCAUUGCAUUUCAUUUGAAAUAUUUGCUGUGUGGAUGUCAAAAUAGGUUUGUGUUUACAGUGGUAAACCGUUUUCUUAAGUUUCCUUUUAUCAGGCUUUCAGAUAUCUGACAUUGCAACAUUGCAUCCAGCUAAACUAAGUCUGACUUGGAUUCCCUCCUUUUCAUGUCAUUGUUCUGUUCACACACUCAACACACUGAGACAGGUGGCUGUUCUUAUUAGUUGGCCCCCUGUGCUGGCAAGCAGAUGUCAUUUCUCUGAGGUCAGUUCACUUCCCCACUGUAAUGAAUUCAGUUUGAGUAGAAACACACUUAUAAAUGCAAUUGAUUUCCUGUUGAGCCUUGAAUAAUAACUAUUUCACUCGGUGAAAUGUCCGGUCUGAAUUGGCAUCCACUACCUAAUGUGCUUUUAAAAUCAACACUUGCAGAAGUUGCAGGAGGAGUCUCAUGCGUUGCAAAGGGAGUACAGAGUGUGAUAAACAGCACCUGAAGACAUGCAUAAAGAGGCAAAUGGUUAUUUUCCACACGUUAUUUUUCCUGCGUUGAACAUAGGCACUCCAACAGUGCGGCUAUCACACCCGUUUUACUAAGAGCUUCCUUUUUUCACUUCUCCUCCUUUCUUCCUCAGCGCCCCCUCUUCUCUCCCUCUGCGGUCCAUUUUAUAACCAUGCGGCUGCAUGGUUUGGUGGGUAAUUUCACUGCCUUUUCAUGUGUCGGAGGGCGAGGAAUCCUCCUCCAUUAGGUAGUGUCGUCUUGUGAUGUAUGAUGUAUGCACAGAGAGGCAAUCUGAUGUUUAUUCAUGACUUUCAAGGCAAUGCCUCAGCUAAGCCCUCUGGUUUCCUUUUAAGGAACACAACUAGAUUGAGAGUUCAGUUUAAAGGCAGACAAAUCAUCCUGCAGCACUUCUUUUAUCUUUCUUUUCCUCCCUCUUUGUCUCUCUCUCCCUCUCAAACACAUCCUUUCUCUCUCUCUCAUUCCUCACCACCCACUUCUAAUCUCUUUUAAAUUCUCCAAUGUUUUUUCUGUCAGAUUUAGUUUAAUUGACCCUUAGAAAAAAGAUCACAUGCAGUUAUUUUGUUUAGAUUUUUCCCCUACUUGCCUCUGUCCCAACGGAGGACUUUGAUGAAAAAAAUACUAAAAUUAAUUAAUGAAUUAAAUAUUUGUUUGUGGUACACUGCCGCGUUAAGGAGACACCACCACUGCAAGUCUAAAAGGCACUCUAGUACACACAAUAUACAUAUGUUGUUUAUGUGAAAUCCUACAACCACAACACUUAUUCCGUCGACUAUAUGUAAACAUCAGGUAUCGGAGAUCACCGGUAAUCGGAAGUUGUUGUUGCAGCAACAACCAAUAGCCUGUUUGCAAUUUUGACACUGUAGCCAGUCUGUUAUAAAGUAACCAUGAGUCAAAAAUAUAUUUGUCUUGUAAAUUAUUUGUUAAUGUUAAUAAAGAUUCAUGUUUCAGUCAGCCUUUGAUGGGACUCCUCCUUUGAACAAAUGGUAUCUAUUAAUAUUGGCAAUGACCGAGCUUCCAACUGCAUAUGCAUCAUAAUACCAUUUAAUUAUUUAUCGUAUUUCCAGACAUACAGGGUGUGUGUGUGUGUGUGUGUGUGUGUGUGUGGUUAGACUGCAAUAUUGUUAAGGCUUUAAACUGUAGUGCCACUUGUGUACCUGCAGCCUGCAUGAUACCGUGAUGUAUUAUUCCCCAUCAUCCCACAUUUCAGCAUACAGCUAAAGUAGACUGAUCCGGUUAUAUUUUGUGGGAUGCUUAGGGGAGCAUGAGUGAGGCAAAUGGUUGCAAUUUGUAAUCAGGAUUUGUAAAACUGUGCUUAUAACCAUAUUCUCUCGUCCUUGAGUUGUGCACAUUCUAACCUUAUGAUAAAUAAUGCAAAUGUGCCAACCUCUGCAAAUGCCAGAGAAAAUGGGUUAGACGGGAGGGACAGGGCAAGGGAGCGAAGGGGAGAAUGAGAGAGCAACAGCUAGCAUAACUAACUGAUUGUUGUGCUGUCAAGUUGAUUUGCAUGAAAAAGGCCGGCCUAAUUGCAACACUUAGCUGCAACACACUGAUAAUACAGAGACGGAUUACAAAAGGACAUGGAGCUCUUAUUAAGAAGGACUUUCUGGGUGUCUAAGAGAUGCAUCACCACCUUCUGUUUCCGUGGGGAGUAUUGGAAGCAGUGUGAGCCUCACCUUGUCCUGUCUGGCAUGACAUUUCCGUCAUGCUAAUGCGUACACAUUGCUGUCUUAGUAUUCUUUCACGUGUAGAUCAUUCCUAAUUUGUUAUAGUUACUUAUCAUUUGAACCUAGAAAGUAUUUAUUUAUGAAAUCCUUAAAUAGUCAGGUCCCUUUUGACAAUAGUGCACAAAACACCCUGCAAGAAUGAAAUGCCUUUAAGAAACAAAUGCUGACUCUAGGCGUAAAGGUAUAUUAAUAGAACAAAGAGUACAAUCAUUUUAAUUUCAACAAAGUAGUACGUAGUAACAGUACAUCCAAGACAGUAUUAAAAGUGGCUUGAAAAGUGUAUGGUUUUGGAAAAAAAGUUGUGGAUGGAGGUUUAGCACAGGGCUUCCUGUUGCUGCCAAAGGCAUGCCAUUAUGGAUGUUUCAAAUUACAAAAGAGUGCUGGUAAAGUUCUGUAUCAAAGCCCCUUGUUUUGCUUUAAUAUUUAUUUAUUUAUAUGGCCCGUAUUGAAUGAUGCAAUGUGCCACGCUAUAAUGUGUGCUUUUAACAUAGUAUCUAGUUUCUACCUGUAAAUGCAUCUUGCAAGGGGUUGUUGGUGGUCUUUCCUCACCAGAUAUUGACAUUGAUUUUAAUGAGCAUGUUUUUUUUUCCAUGUCAGAUGGAUUGUUUGUUUGUGUGAAUUGAGAGGAGCAAUAAUACAUUUUAAUAGCCCAUUAGGGCUUACUGUUAUUUGUAUUUUGCAGUGAGCCUCUGGAAAUAACAUUUUUGUCUCCUAAAAAGGUUUUCUCAUGCAUGGGUUACUAGUUAGAUUCUAACCCUAAAAUCUUUGGUCCAACUUCAUGAAUAGCACAUGUACCUGAGAAUAGUAUCAUCUAUUGCACUGACAUGAUCUAGUAAUUGGUCAUUAAAAAAUACCAUGGUUACUGUGUUAAUUAGGAAACCUGUUGGGGAUGGAGGUCAGCAGCUCUUAAGAGCAACAUGACAACAGUAUAAACAGACAUUUACUGCAUUCAAAUGGAACUUUGAAGCACGAGGCAUAACGGUUGCUCUUCAGAUGCAUUUUGUUGAUAACAAUGUUUUAAGCUGAUUAAUGACAAAAGGACGUUUCUAUAUUCCUCCUUUUUCAAAGAUGUAGGUUUGUUUACUUAUUGAUUUAUUGAUUGUUUUUAACAACUCCGCUUCAUGUUAGGGUAAGUUUAUGGGGUCUGAUUUGUAGCAAUUAUUGUCUCCAGCCAUUUCACAAAGCGCCUCAACGAUCAAGCUGUAGCUGCAAGGAAAUAUGUGGUACAGCUGAAAAGCACUGGUAUUGUUUUGAGACUCUUUAGGCACCAAAGUGAACAUAUAUUGUAUAACUAAACCUAUUUCAAAGUAAUCAAUUUGUGGCUCCGGUUACAUACGUGCCAAUGCUGUACAUAGGAGAGCAAUUUGUCCCCAACUAGAAGACUGGUCGCUUUCAUUUUUUUUCUUUUUCAUUUGUGACUUUUUAAUGUAAUUAAAUGAUACAUAUGGCUUGCUUAUUUCUUUGGUGGUGCUAUAGUAAAAGCUUUUGUCCUUCAUGGUAUGAAAUGUCUUUGCCAAAGGUGUGUUUAAAUGCUGCCUGCAUGAUUGUUGCCGUCAUAAUCAAAGUCCCAUAAAACUCUCAUGGGCAAAAUGUAUUGAGUAUCUUUUCCUCUGUAACCAUUGACUUGUUAUGACAUCAUUUUAAUCUUAAAACGUUUUUAUGGCCAUGUAGCUUACUUGAUGUAGUCAUAUCUCAUCUUCCUCCAAUACUUCAGUUUUACAUUCUUUUACCCCACUAUUAGGCUCGCUGUAGUCUGUAUUUCUUCCCCCAUUGAUCAAGGGCAUCUUCUUCACUGUCACUAGUGUGACGGUUCUAACAAAGCCAACAUUAGAAGCUUUUCAAUUUGUGCACACAUUGGCUAAUAUUCAUGUACUUAAUUAAACUUUUUCAUCGCACAAGAAAAUGGCAAAUCUAUGGAGAAUUCUAAGAAGUAUGAAGCAUAAAAGCUGUUUGCCAUAAAAGGCACAUUUCCUCCUAUUUCUGCUGGACAUGAUGGAGGUAAUUGUCCAGAUUUGCACUGAAAACACGGCUUAAUGUCUUUGGCUUGCGGGAAUAAAAAUGAAAAUGGGUCUCAAGGUCCUUAUUACAAGCCUCUGAUGUCAAUCAUUUUCAAACAAGGCCUUUAUCACAGUGUUUCUAUUCCCUCCAUCCUCCCUUUGGAACCAUUUAUAGGACUGGAUAUGUGUAGGGAGCAGGCGCUAAAGCUUGAAUAACAAUAACACUCCUCUGACCAGCCUUGCAAACUUAGUCGAUGCACAACAGGCAGCAGUCUUCAAACAGCCAGUUACAGGUGCAGGAAGUUUCAUCGCGCUCUCACAGCUUUUAUCAAUAUGAGAAGAUUGAAUUGUUUUCAAUUUUCUACCCACAUGAAUGUAUGUUUUUCUUUGAACCUUAAUGAUAUGGUUUUGGAUGGACUACUCCAUGCAAAAGUACUUUAACAACUUCAGAUGCACGUCCUCUUUUUUUUUUUUUUCCUCUUUUUUCACAGUUCUCAAAACUUAGUGGGUAGGUGCCUUAAAGCAGCGGUUCCCAAACUCAAUGAUGCCGCGGCCCACUUUGAAAUCUGAAAAUCUUUUGCGGCCCACCGAAACCUUUAAUCACAACUCUGAUCAAAACAUAACUAGGGAUAAUUAAAUGACCUUAAGAAUUUAACCGAUUAAAAAUGUAUUAACCGACAAUGUAUGUUUUGUAUACCAUUUUCUCCGGAGCUCAUGUGACGUGUUCUCCGCACAAUAAGGCGCAUAAGAUACUGCAGUCUAUCAGCGCAAAUCACUGUCAAAAUUCGAGAGCGCAAAUCAGGUUGAUGCGCGCGCGUAAAUCAAACAUCCGCCAGCAAAAGCCCAUCUCGAGCGAGCAAAAGUUCGUCUCGAGCGAGGUAUUUGCUCACUUGCGAGACGUGAACUUCCUCGUUCGCGAGGUUAGUCUCUGCUCGCGCUCAAAGGAGUUUUCUACGCGCUCGCUGUUGUUCUUUCAGACAGUAAGGGGGCGGAGCCAGUCACAUGGUAUCUACAUCUUUGGAUUGGCUGGAGCGAUGCAUUCACACAACUAUAGAAGCCCAUUUCUGCACUGAAGAAAGGGGAUAGAAAGUCGAAAUUAUGAGAUAAAACAUUGUCAAAACACAAACGACACCUUUAUGUAACCGUAGUGGACCGUAGAUGACAACCAGCUUCAACCAUCGUCACCGGCACAUUAAGACCAAUGCGUCCAGCUCGCAGACCGGCUGGUGAUUUGCCGCCAUUGCAGUCAAACGUUUGGCGUCGGGGCGGGUGGAUGGGGAGGUGGAGACGGUGCUUUCAGGGUCCGAUCGAGGUGCGUCCGCUCCCGCCGCCCCCCUCGCCAUACAUGCCUUAAAUCUUCGGCUGCUCUCCAGCCACGCCGCCUGCCAAGGGCUGCUUUUAGAAUAACUUAUUUUCCCCGUUAAGAUGGUUCAGCUACUGUAGAGAAAAGGGCACCGUCUCUCGCUCUUUAAUCUCAUGAAGUCCUCGGAGAGAACGACAGCUUUGUUUCUCCGACGCGUCCUGAAACAAGCUCCAUAUCUCACGCGCUUGAGCGCCGCUCAGCAUCUCGCCUUCGUAGACGAGCUUUGUCAUGUUUGGAGCGCCUUGAGCGCCAUGUACAACCAGUAUGGAUCAACCGAUUAACCAAUCUGUUCGUUUAAAUUGUUUGUGCUUCAUCAAUUAAUGUUUCACAUGACUAAUGUGCCGCAUCAUACAUAUUUUUAUAUUCUUUUCAAAAUUGAAAAUUAAAAACGUUUUAUUUAUUGUAAAUGACCUCUCGCGGCCCACACUUUGGGAAUCGCUGCCUUAAAGUCUUUGAGUAAUGUAUUUUUUAGUCCAAUUAGAUCUGUCUUUGCCCUUUGGCAGUAAAGUGUGGAGGUAGCAGAUUUGUCUUCCUCAGCCAGCAGAGGUCAUGUUCACAAGUGUGAUUUCUACCAGGCAGGUUGUAUUAGGACAACAGUUAUGGGUCAUAGAACACCCUGUUAUAGGUUCCACUAUGGCUGAGCUGUCUAUCCAACAUGCGGAGUUCUGGGAGAUCAUAUUGGCAGCCAUAUUGCAUCAGUAUGAUUCAAAGAAAGUAAUGAGAGCCAAGCUAGUAGAUGAUGCAAUCAAUGUAAAAUAAGCAUAUCCCAUUACAAAUGGACUAAUGGGUAAAAUAAACAUGGGUUAAAGAGAUUGCAAAGGUGAAUGGAGAACCUACUAUUCACAAAAUAAACCUAACCAUGUACCUGUGUCAUUUGGUCCAUGCAAUUUGCUUUUCCUGAAUAGAUUCUAUCGAGGCAGAGACCUCAACUUUGGUGCAGAAGUGGCUCAGUACAGUAUUUCAAGGCAUCCACUAAAAGUAUUUAUGUGUGGGGUGUGUGAUAAUAUCGUCUGCAUUACAAAGCUGUGGUCUGAGAGUGCUAGUGCUAACUGUCUCCUGGCGUAAUGAGAGAGUGAGCUGUCAGAGACACGCAUGUAAUGGCUCCCUUGCCAGCCGCCCAGUUCAGGCCCUGUGGGACUCGGGAACAAACGCACCAUUUCUUUCACACCGUAUCCUCUGUCUUUCUUGUAUUCUCCCUCACUUCCAUUCUCUCUGUCUCUCUCCGCUUUUUAAACUCUGACCCGGACAGUGACCAUGGCAGGCCUCUCCAUCUUUUGUCUCUUUCCAUUGCACAGAUACUAAAUCGUUCACAUAACAACAAACACACACAGUACAGAACUGCUGAGCAUGCAGAAUUCCGGAGGGGAAUUUAGUGGCUGAAUCCCCAUUGGAUGGCUUAUUGUGUUCAGUAUACCAAAGGCUGCUCCUAAAAUGCAAGUGUAAUGGCAAACAGGCUGCAGCUUCUCAAUAGACCAGGCAGAAUAGUCACACUCUGAUGGUACGUCUUUAUCUCUCUGACACCCCCAGUAUGCUGCGCAAGCUGCUGUUUGAGUGCCUUCAGUCAACUGCCGACUGGACAUGUCCUUUAAGUGCGAGGUCAUUUUUCACCCCUCGUUACACUGAAAGAGGACUUUCACAGCUUUAACAUUAGAUUGUGAUAUUGAUAGACAUUACACAACUGCAGUCAUAACUACAGUGUGCUAAUUCUAAAGUGAGCUAUACUCAAAGUUUUGGCGUCAAAGAAAACGUUUUAGAAAUUGCACUCUAUGGGAAAGCGUCCACCGUUUCCUCUUCCUCCCUCUGCUCUCAGCCAAUCUAUAAGCAGUGACCCCCGAGGCUUGCCGUUAUGGCAGUUCUUUCAUCAGCCAUUACUGCUAGUGUUAAUGGCAUCCUCAUUCUGACUUUAAAGAUUGAUUGUCAUAUUGUGCAGUUUGAUUGACAGUUGACCUUCACACCAGUUUAUGAAGAGCCAGCUAGAUACAGUGGGUCACCUCGAUUGCCUCAGUGACAGCAUAUUAAUUCUAAUCUGAGAAUUAUCAGGAACCAAUUAAUGUUUAGACAAGACUGUGGUUAAAGAGAUAGUGGAGCUUUACAGCUCGGGCGAUAUGCUCACUAUAUAGUCCUCAUGCCCAGUGAAUUGUGUAUAUAAGUAAGUAAGUAUAAGUAUAUGAUCGAGCAUGUGUACGAUUCACUUGGCUGAGGCCGUCCACACACAUAAGGGGAAUGCAUGUAAAUAAUGUCUGCCUUUUCAUCAUGCAUUCAUGAUGCUUUGGGUAAAAGUAACCAUUGAAUGUUACUGAUAAGAUAUUGAACCUUCAGCAAAUAUAUUUACUGGUGUCUGUUUGUCUCCAUGUCAACUUUAGUCGGAUAACUUGAGAUCCUGUAUCCUUUUGAAAUUGACCUCCCGUCGAUAUGAUCAAUAAAUAAACAUUUUGAUGGGAGGCUUAGCGACUGCUUGUUGAUAGAAAGGUAACAUUUUUAGACAAGAACAAAGCAGCCUGGAAUUAUUUCCAGCAUAUAGCACACCUGCAUAUUAUCUUCAUCUUAUGACAAACCUAAAAAUACACAGACACCUUACUGGUGCUGCUGAACCGUUGCAAUGUUUCACGAUGGCUAUUUGCAUCCACAAUUCCCUCCUACAGGGAGGGAUGUCUCCUAACCCUGGUCUCAUCUACGUCAGUUCCUCUGGCCCAUGCUGCCGUCAUCUUUCCCACAAACGAACACUCCUGCUUAGAAACGCAUGGUGGAGGUGUGUGAUGCCAAACGAGUUCCUCGUUACCUCCCUCCCACUCAGUUGGUGGAGGCUUUUGGAAGAACUACAGCGACAUCUGCAUGUGCCAUGGUUACAGAGCGCCGGGCUCAUACCCGCCUCACUGGGCUUCCCCUGCCAACCUGCGUCCUGUCUGCACUGCCCCUCCUCCUUGCACCUGCGGCAAUCACUUCUCAAAUUACUAAACAUGACUAAUUGGGUGAGGCGUGAAGCUCACUUCAUUUAAAUAUUCUGGCUUGGGGGGGAUUUUGCGUUGCAUAGAAUUAUUAAGGCGGAGAGGAUUCACAAUUAGAUACAUGGAUUUCUGUGGAGUCAAAUUUAAAUCGUCGUUGUUCAUGUUGUAGCUCUCAGCAAUCUGAUUUCAUUAAAUUAUUAAUUAAAUUAUACAUUUUGUACCAUUAUUGUUUUAACUUCUUUGUUGAAAGUUAGUUUAGGUAGGGAUCCUUGUUAGAAGAUUUCUUAAAGACGACUUCUGUAGUCUUUUAUUUUUUUUUAAUCUUCAAAGAAAAUUAAUUUAAGAAAAGACUCAAAGUGCCAAAUUGGGUCUCAGUGCUUCUCCUCACUAACUACGUGAUCCUGUAUUCUAUGGGAUAUUAUUGUUUUUUACAACUUCCUAAUAAGUGCAAAAUGACGGCUCAUUACAUUAUGUGCUGCAUGUGUUUCUGUAUGGGAGGAUUAAUGUAAUAAUAAUUAAACAUAUCCAAUAUAAUAGGCCUGGUUCAAAAGUAAAGAUCCGGCGUAGGUUUAUUUUGGGGAAAGUUUAUUUGAGGAAUAGUCUGGAAGUGGUGGUUGUUGUCUUGUGUAGCGAGAUACUGGGAAAGACACAAUGGCAGUUAUUGCAAGUAAGAAUGUAUAUGACUCCUCAGUCACUUAUCUGCUGCUAGUCACAGUCAACUGCAAUGUUCUGCCGUGAUUUAUAUAACCUAUAAAACCCUUACAUGAGCUCUCACGAAAUUAACAGUAAAUUGUUCAUUCAAACACGUUUUUUUUUCUUUUCGUUUUGUAGCUGGCAAAUAUUUAGUUGAGUCCGGAAUCGCAAAAAUAAUCAAUUUUUCUGUUUCAUUAACAAAUCCACAAACAUCCAUUAGUUCUACGUGAACAGACAUCCACUGUAUGUGAGAGAGCUCCUUGCGCAGAUUGUAAGGUGCUCAAUUAGUCCGUGUCGGAAAGAUUGAGCGCACAGACAUUUUUAAUUAAUGUUGAAUUAAACGAAUUGGCAGGUUGCCAGAAACCAGGCGCACAGCUUUGAAGAUAUGUCAUCGCAUAAUGAGUCGCUUUUUUUCUCUUAUAUUUCAUGCUUUUCUAUUUCCAGUCCCUGGCUCUCUGCUGCCAUUUGCCCAUAUGCCUUAGCGAUUUAAUGAUAUGCAAAUGAAAUAUGCAUAAAACCAUUCUGCUGUAGGAUGAUUAAGCACAGAGGACAUUAGCCAGUGCCCACCACAGUGUCUGCUGUCUCCUCUGCAUUCCGCUUCGGCCGGGCGCCAACAACACCGUUCUAAUAAAGAUCAAUGCUGCUAAUGCGCUAAUCAUUUCAAUAAGACAAAUAAUAUCCAAGUGAAAGUAGAUUCCAAGAUGGUCUUCUCGCUCCAGUUUUGUAAGAUCCAGAACCAGGAAAGGCAGAUGUCUCCAUAUGCGAGAGAUGGUGCUCUGGAGAGCAGGCAGGGAGCAAAGACACCAAUGCAGGAGCUUUUCUCUGCUUGUUUGUGAGUACUGUGGCAUUAUUUGACUACUGGCAUAUAACGAAGGAAGAAAAAUAUCCCCAAUCCUGCUUUCCCUCUCUCUCUCUCUCUCUCUCUCUCUCGCUCUCUCUCUGACACACACAUAUACACACACUCCACCCCCCAUUCAAUUCUGCUCUCUCGUUCAAGCCCUUUUUUUUGUAAUCCAUUUGUGUAAUGAAGAUGCUGCACAAUUAACAUCCCCCAUGGAAUUAAAUAAAAGGGUGAUUAUCCAAAGUUCAUUAGCUCCAAACGAUUAGCAUAUCCACGUGUCUCCACUUGAUCGUUAUGGAAAAAAUGCAACAUCAAUUAUAAAUUUAGAUUCAUCGUAAUUCGUCUUUGUUGCGAUCGCGAUUUUUGCAUUUGAGAUGCCCGAAAAGAUGCCAUCUUUCAAUCGGUCCAUCCUCAGUGGUGGAUUCAGACAUCUUGGUAGUGCCAUGGCUGGGCAGCGAGCACAAAGAUGUUAUAAUCCCUCCUCUUUGGAAGACUUCCUUGAUUAUUCAUAUUGUAAAACCAUGCCUCUUGUCCAAAGAAAUCCAGGAGAAAAAAAGAAAAGUAAAAUAGUUACUGUUGGAUGAACAUCCCCGCGUGGCUAAUUACUGUUUUAAUUCCGAUUGUACGUUUUAAUUAACAACGAACUUAAUGAAGCCUCCGUUGUGCGUCUUUGCAGCGAUGCCCAUCCUUGGCUCUGUGCCCAACGCCAGCAGACCUCUCGGGAACAACAGAAUCGUUUCUCCGGACCCAGAGACUCCCGGAACCGCAACUCCAACCAGUUGGUAGGUCUGCGUUUGUCUGCGUGAGUGUUUAUGAUAGUUUACCGCAAGAGGGAAAAUCCUGAAAAGGGUGGAGUUUGUUCAUUUCUUUUGGACGGUUGGCAAGAAGGGGGCAAAAAAAGUCGAAGAUCUGUGCGGUGUGGGUGUGGAAGAUGUAAUGAGUUCCCACGGCCUCAAUACCCUCAGUUUGGUUACAGGCAGGCCAGCACCUCCCCCUCAAUUUCUCUUCAACUCAGGUUGCCUCCUUGUUCCUGCCGUACCCAUUUCCUUGGGUUCCUGUUCUGUCUGUGCCACCUUGCGGCUCCCAUGCUGCUCGAUACAAUAUUGAAUGUAUAGGAUUUCAAGUCCAUGAUGGUUGCUGUGAAUUUAGAAGAAGCACUGAAUUGCCUGCAUUUCUAUCUGUUGUUGCGUGGCUUGCUGCAGAUGUAUAAUUUCCUGGUCUUUUAAAGAUUUUGCGCUGUGUGAACACAGAAAAAAAUCAUCUCGAGGAAAACCGGCUGUGUGAGAACUUCUGGUCAGCACAAAUAUAUAUGUAUACGUGUGUGUGUGUGUGUUGAUUCUGUCUAUCCUCUGAUUAUAAUUUGUUUUGAGAGUUCAUUAGUAUUCAUCCUCAUGCUUGCAUUUUCUUUGUCUCUAAUAUUGUAAACAGCUGCUAUUGAGCUUCAGGCACAGUCCCUCGGGUCCAUUCUUCCCUCCUCCUCUGUCUGUAUGCAGACUCACAGAUUGGCAGAUUGGCAGCGUCUGUUGUAGCAGUGCCCACGAUAGAUGCUCCAUGUGGCUGUCAGAAAUGGCAUUUUACACUGGGGCAGAAGUGUGGCUAAAGGGAAAAGGAAUUGGCACAAAAUAAGGCACUUGCUUCACACACUGUACUAAUAGUUGAACAGUUUGGCGCUUUUGUCUUCAUCUUGGUUUUUUGUUGUCUUCUCCCCAUUAUGGAUUCUUUUGAUGAUUAUUAAUUAGUUCAUGUUUCUCCCUAAUUAACGAAGCAAAAUGUUCUCCAAUUAGUCAAAUCUGGUGCUGUAAUUUCUCUGCUUGAUCCUUCCUCUUUUGUUUUUCGACCAUUGAAACGUGUUGGGUAGUCCUUUGUGUCGAGUUCGGUUGAUUGUAGUUUUUAUUCCCCCGUUCUUUGCCGGUUUCCUGCCAGAUUACAUUUCUGUUGGUACACCGCUUGAGACACGUACUUUCCAAAUUUUGGCUUCUUGGGCUUCCUCCAAUCCAAUGACUUUUACCCAAGUCCAUAAAUGUCAAAUGGCGUUCGUCAGUGGACACGUCUCCAAGGGUACGUCCUUUACUGCCAACGCGUGAGUUGGCAUGGCGUGUCCUGCCCGUUGGCUCGCUGCCUGGCACAGAGAGCUGUGCCUCAGACGGUACAAGAGAGCAAGAAGAAGGAGCGAGUGGGAGGAGCUUUCCUUUGUGCCACCGCCAAACCACCCCGUUACCACUGUAAUAAAAAACAUCCCAGUGUUUCUGCUUUGUUGUUUCAUUUUCCAUUUCCUUCCUUAACCCCAUGUGAUGCCUACUCCAUUUCCAACUUCCCUGUUUUUGGCGCCGGCGGCCUGUUGGUUCACUUCCUGUCUCAUUCGUCUUAGAGAGUACGGAAAUCCACUCAUGUACCUCCAUCAUGGCGCCAUGCUGCAACUAGUCCAUCUCAGUGGAGGGCUCUCCAAAUGUAUUGAGGUCGAGGUCCCGUCUUGAAGUCUUCGUCAGCAGAUGUUUACGUGAUCUCCAAAGCGGUACUGAUAUAAGGAUGAAUUUGUGUCGGCAGACAUAUCUUAUAUGUAACUUCUAAUAUUCGGCAGCCCCAAAAAAUGAAUAAUUAAAGAUAAAAGAAAAAGCAUGUGAUGCUACCCUAACCACGACAGGACUCUUCUGUCUCCCAGGCUGCAUCUAACCAGCUACCCUAGAGAGCGAGCAGAAGUCCGCCCUGGUGCUACCACUGAAUGGAUGGCACUGUGCCAACUUCUCUCUGCCAUCAACCGCAUUCGCUCCUUGUAUCCCUUAUUUGCCCAGCCCCUUUCUCUCAGUCUCUCUCUUACACACCCUCCUCCUCCUCUCCCUACAUUUCCUUCCACAUGGCCACUACACGCGCCUUCGUUCUCCCUUUUUUGUUCUAUGGGCUUGACAUUAAUUAACAUUUAGGUUAAUUGAUUUUAAAAGCUGGCGAUUUGGCCUCGCCAUUCUUCUAAGUCGGCUGACUAACUGUUCUGCGCCCUGCCAUUUUGCGUUGGUGCCUCGUAUUGCUCCGCUCCUUCAUCGGUUCUGGAGAAAAAUAGAGCCUCAAACCCAUAACCACCAUUGUAGUGCGACAAAACCAGUAGAGCUAAGCUCCACCUGAAAAUGCCACAGUAUACAAGAAUGUAGGACACGAGAAUCUCAAUCUGCUUAUCUGACUUUAGCUGAAUUGUUUACAUUUUAACUGAUUUCACUUAACAAUGUUGACUGGGCAUUUUAUUCAAAGUUCUCCUUCUACCACCUUCACAUCUUUUUUCUUCAUAUAGUUCGCUCUGUACACACUCUUCUAAUUAUAUCCCCAUCACUUUUCAAGCUGCAUUUGUGACCAUCUGCUUUGCCGUCAUGUUUGAUGGACAUGGAUAACAAGCAUUACAGGUUGUAAACAGAUUACUAUAUUCGUUUAUGUUGAUUAAAAAAAGCUCUAUAAUAUGUGUAGUAGUUAUCUUUUCACUUGUCAUUCGACGUCUCGUCAUUUCUUCCCCAAAUCUGCUUUGGCUCUUUUGUACAUUUGUAUUCAGGUCGUUCGGUACGGCGCUGAUGAGGUUAAAAGCAGAAGAGUCACAUUUUUUAAUUAUUCAAUAAAAUCUCCCUCCAUCUUUAAUGUGUAUGCACACUGCUGUUAAUUAGCUGUGCAAUGGUUUGCUUUAAUAGUCAAAGUUAGAAUAGAUUAAUAAAGAGAAAAAUCUUCAAACGCUCUUGAAUACCAUGUCACAUACUUUAUGCGAUGGUGAUUAUUUACUAUCUUUCUUAUGUCUGUGUAUGUACUAUGCACAUUUUGUGUUUGACAGAUACAUGGCAAUGUAAUUAAAAAGGAUCCAAACACAGACGUUGUGCCCUUGGAAAUCUUUUUUUGAUCCACACAAAAACCGUUGGAAAGGGGCUCAAACGGGCUCGAACAUGCUAUUUUUUUGCGUUUCACACUCUUGUGUUUGUCUGUUUGUUUCUUAAAAUAAAAUGAAAAGCUGCAACUGGGCAAUUGAGACAAGAGGAAUCCAUUAUGCAAAUUUACCAGUAUUUGCAUAAUGUCUUAUGCCAGGAAUAUGCAAAUGAACCAUAUAAUUCAUGAGCGCCCGCGUCUCUCACAAUGUUCCCAUAACUUUAGUUAUUUUUGUUUUUUACCCCUCCUCAUCUCUCCUACUAACCAAGCUGGCAUGGCAUGCACCACACUGACGGAGCAGACCCACACCAAACAAGCACACCCACAAAAAGGGGUUGCUGUUUGGGUUACGUGACCGGGUGGGAAAAACUUGUCUGUGCAGACUGAUGGGGGAUAAGGAGGCAGGCAAGGGGCGGGGACGGGUGGUAUGGGAAUAAUGUGUAGGGGGGCACAUAAAUCCCUCUACAAAGGCUCUGUAGCAGAUGCUAAUUCUCUAAAACAACUGUGAAACUAAAUAAAAUGAGAGCCAAAACAGAAAGGCAGAACAUUUCGACUGGGCGGAGUGUCAGCAUUUUCUCACUGUUUUUUUGUGCGGUUGCUUGAGCGUUUGUUCCUUUCUUUGAUGCCCGUUUUGGGUUCAUUUAUUUUUUCAUAUCGUGGGAGCCUGCUGCUUUUUCCUGUUGUGGAGGAUUUCCUCAUGAGUCAUUUGGAUGAAGGCUGCUAUUCAGUGCUGAGUCGGAUGGAGAAGAGAGAGAAUCACAGAAGGAGAGAGAGGCUGAAUACCGUAACUCUCCAGUACCCCGUGAUGCCACCACUCUGCCUGGCCAAGCCCGGCACAGAUCAUUCAGACUGUAUGCAGGAAGACCAGGAGCAGACACGUCCUGCUGUGUGAUGUGAGUCGCACACCAGAUGUUUGGGCUCUCGUUCUGCAGCAGGAUUUGUUUUGCUGCAAUUACAACGAGUCGCGAUGAUUAGCCUGCUUUGCAUAGUUGGUGUGUGGCUAAUGACUAAAGGGACGACUACAUUGUUGCGGAGAAGGAAAAAAAAGCCAAAUGGGACUGUUUUUUGCUAAGGCUUCGACCACUGCAGGACAUGACUGUUUUCUCCUUGAGGCCUAUUCUCACAGAACUGUCAUUCAGUCUUUCCCAUCACCUGGCUCUGUGGUGGAUGUCUGCAUGCACUAUUUCUACGUUUCCUCACGCUUGGACACUGCAGAGCUUCAGAUGGUAGAAAGGUGUCUGUGCCAGACCGUUUCGGUUCACACGCACACAUCGAGUGUUCCCGCCUCCCCCUCGGACUCGAGGGCAUCUGGUCCUUCCUUGUUGGACGAGGACUUUACAGCACAUAGUGUAUGAUUGUUACAUGUGAGUACGGGCAUGUAUGUUCUUAUGAGAAGCAAAAUGAGACAAAGGGGAUAAGUCAGCGUGUGUCUCUCCUUAUUUCUUCAACUCGUGCAAACAACGCACAUGCUUGAAUAAGUGAUGUUUGUCACCUUCUCUGUUGCUGUAGGAGAACUUUGGAUUGGAACAAGGAAAGAAGACAAUGCGAUGGAAAUAGCGACUCUCAUUCGGUGUUCUUUAAUUACAAUAUUAACUGCUGUUCAUUUUUCUAUUGCACUUCGAUGUGGUUUGUGUUGCUAACUCCAACUCAGAACUUUCCUGAUUGUAGCGUCAAGACAAUUAUUCCUAUACAAUUAUUUCUAUUUUUGGUCAAGGUUUUCAGUUUUUAUUAACAUUUUUUGUAUAAUGGUGUAUAAUGGCGAUGAGAUUGUCCAGCUUUUUCUGUAUUAAUAGUAUACACUAAUUAAAUAGUGUAAUUAUUUUCUGGAAUUAGUUCUCAACCGGCAGCUUAUUAAACAGCAGACACCUUUCAUUAUAUCUAAUGAAUUUAAUUGUGGCUUAUAUUUUGCCUUGACUUUAUUGUUUGAAUGCAUUGGAAAUCUCACAUUGAGAUUGCGAUAAUUGCUCAAGUAUUUUCUCCUGUUAUACAUUUUCAUAUGUCAACUAAAGUUACAUCUUUUUUUCUUCCUUUGCUUAAAACCUCACAAUCACUUUAGCCAACCUUUGGAUACAUCAGUGAUUUGUAUCUUUUUGAUGUUCUCUAUGAAAUAACAAUAGUUACAAAAAUAAUAAUGUUAUUUUUAUUAUUAUUAUUAUUCUAUUAUAAAUACCACCUCUGACGAACCGCAAAGAGGCCCUGACGUAUUCUCUUUCCACCACUAUGGAAAGUUGUCAAAAUAAAAAAAUAAAACCGUAUUAUCUUCUUGAAUUUAGUGAUCUUUAUUUAAUUUGAUGACCUGUGAAGAGGUUUGGCAUUAUAAAUAAUACUUGUAUCGAGGGUAUGAAAUAUCACUACUUUUAUACUUUGUUUUACCCGUUGACUAGGGCCCAUAGCAAAGCUAGAAUCAUCCCAAAUUGUAUAAUGUUCAAUCAUCAUCAUCGUUUUCUUCUAUUCAAUUUUACAUUUUUAUCUUAUUGUUGAGUUCAGUUCACAAUUUAAUCUGUAGAAUUGAAUUACAUUACACUGUUGUAUUUAACAGUUUGAAGUUCUCAAGAGCAGAAUUACACCAAAAACCUUUACAGAAAGAUGAAAUACUAAUAGCUAUAUAAUAGCUAUGCUCCCCUUUAGUUGUGAGGAUGAUAGUAUGAAAAAAGAAGAUGGCUUGCCCUUUUCUGUUUUACACUCUUGAUGCGAACAGUAAACAUGUCGUAAACUCUGUGUUCACCCCCUGAUUGGGAAGCGAGUGUAAAGAUCUGUCUCCGGGUCACAAAGCACUGUCGAUGAGGUAAACCAAUGGAGAGGCCCAAUAGAGGGUGAAACACUUAUAAAGUAGAAUAUAUCUUAAAUGAAUACACUGGAGCUCUUUAAAAUUAUACACAAAUCAUCAUGACAUUUAAUGAAAGUCGCCAGUGUAAUGGUGUUUGUCUUGAUCAGGCAUCAGAAUAAGCUUGGAUAUUAAUCAGCUAGGUGAAGCGUGGAGCAUAAUAACAACAUACAUAAUAAAAUACGAUGGUACAUGUGAUUGUGUUUUAAAGGGAAGGCAUACAUGGGAGGCAAGGCUAAAUUGCUACUCUCACUGAAAGCUCCCUUCACGUUCAUUGCACCCCUUGACCCAUCAGCACACAUUAUCAGGUGAGGAUUUAUUUCAGCACAAGACGUUCCCAUAAAAGUGGCAAUCUUGUUCCACUAGCAUGAAGGUUUUAGCCUUCUCGAUAAUAGCAUCUGAAAUCACAGAGACGCAAAUGGGUCUGUCCAUAAAUACAACCCAACCAUGAAUGAUGGAGCCAGCCUAUGUAAAAGCAGGUACUAUUAAAAAAACACACCCGUGCUUACUAUGUAAUGAUAGAAAAACUCCAUUUCAAUUUUGAAUACACUCACCAUUUUGUGAUUGGUAGGAUUUUAAGACCACGUGGGAGCUCAAUUAUCAGGGCGUGUAUGUAGUCAUCUGUUUGUUGACAUGAUGGCUGUGAAUAUAAAUGUUCAACCUGGUGCAGCUGUCAAAAAUAAUGACGAGAUUGACAGUUUGGUGAAACCAACUUCAGGUUGGAAUCUCUGCUUCUUAACAUGCUGGUUAACAAAUGUUCUACAUAUUCAACCGUCUACUCAGGAAUCAGCAGCUUAGCCAGACGUUGCUAUGUUAACUUGAAUUCAAAGCUCUGUCUCACUUUCAUUGUCUCAUGUCUAUCAAUGCACGGCAGAUGCAUUCACUGUCCUGGCCUGUCCUAUUUUCACGUUCUUCUUGGCAGUCUUUGUUGUGCAGGUAUGUGCAUGUGUCUGUGUACUUGUGUCCUUGGGUCUUCUGCCUCACUGCACUCCGGUCCACUCUUACUAGGUGAUGCUUCUGAAGCCCCCUGCCCUCUCGCGCCUGAUGAACCAGAGACAAUUGCCAGAGGGUAAACAUGUCCACUGGCACAUGUCUCUUUCCUGAAUGGCUGCAUUUAGCAUGCACCACCUGCCAUUGUCACUGGAAGCAUACACAAAUUUGUACUCACACGUGCAGCCACAUUACUAAUGAGUUUAAUCAUGAAAUACACCCAGUCCUCAGGAGCCUAGGGCUGUGUUAAGCAGUUAUGUUAACUAUUGCAUGCAAAUCGCAAUAACAUGGUGGAAAGUAGGAUCCUGCAUUAUUCAGACUGGGUGGAUGGAGUAAUUAAGAGUUGUGUAGUCUUUCAUAAUUCAUCUGCGUUAAAGGCCCAGCAGUUUUUCCUGGAUAAACAGAGCUGGCAGAUGAUGUGAUGUGGGAUGAGACAACACAGCACCCGUGAAUACAACUUCUGUCUUUUCGUAUUUUGCCUGCGGCUGGUUUGGGUUGACUUUGAAUAGUAGUAAAUUCAAAACCAUCUUUCUUCAUAUAUUCUGCCAACAUUCCCUCUGCCUCUCGUUGUUUCGUAGUCAUUCCAGAUACGUGUUCUUACUUGACACCAGUGUAAAAUCAUUAAACAGGACAUUUAUUGUAUAAUACUUGCAAGUAGGAGAAAGAACUGACACACAAACAAGUCAUGCGUCAAGGCUACUCAAAGGGUUUGUUCUUCGGAGCGGGGAUAUGUAGUUGGGAGAUGAACAUAGACCAACGGGGGUGGAGCCCGGACAAAAGCAAAGUGCUGGUAAUCAUAAUCAUAAACCUUGAAUGUAGGCGAUCAUCUUAGGAACCGCGAGAUUAACUGGACAUUGACGCACAAACAUCUUACUAUAAUUUGACCCAAAACACAAUGUGCUCUCUCUGUGUGAAAGAGCAAGUUGUCGAAGUAAUAAAUGUCUACGGUGAAACAUUAUUGCAGUUUUUUCAACAACGUCAUCCAAGUUCAUAAUGCAGUUGGAGAAAAAAUGUGUAAAGUUCUAUCAGCGAUUUGGACAAAAAAUAUGAAUUAAACUGAUUCACUACUGCUUGAUUCGAUGAGUGGCAACUGAUGAUAGUUUUUAUAAUCUUCCCAAUGUAGCUGAAGGAAAAUCUUGCAGGGCUUAAAUUAAUUGUCGAUAGCUAUGCUAGGAUGUUAUCCAGAGGAUAUGCAGCUACAACUCAAGGUUGUUAAAAGAAGAAAAAAAAUCAGGACGAGAUAGAAGGCAUUUGACCAUGUAAACUGGAAAUGUUUGGUAUAUUUCUGGUACAUCCCUCCAGGUAAUAUCUGGAUUUUGAGGACAAAUGUUGUCAGCUAAAUAUGACGGUUCCUUAAUUGUGUUCUAAGGCUUGUUUUUCUUCAUCAUCAUCAUCAUCAUCAUCAUCAUUGUAAAUAUGAUUUAGAACUGAACAAUGAAUUGGGAACACGUUUUGACAAAUUGGCUUAGUAAUAAUAUAUUCUCCGUAAAAGGAUUUUAAAAAACACUGUUAUUAAUUUGGAAAGAAAUGUGUGCAAUUACAAAAACUUAGUAACCAGACAUUUUCAUGCAGACUUAAUAUGUUGUAGAGCCUUUUGCGUUAGAUAACCAAUAAGAAAUUGAGUGUGUUACAGGUUGUGGGAAACAGCCUUACAGGUUUAAUCCUGACCACUAAAAUAUGACCUUUAUAGCAUAAUUUGUCAAUUCUGUGUGUGUAUAUGUGCAUGCAGGCAUUAUGUGCUCUUCCAACUCCACCUCCUCUGUCUGAGGGCUCAGAAACAUAAAUGAAUUGAAAGCACUCUAAAAGGUCACGGCAGCUUUGCCUUUUCCAGGCGUUACCUUUGACUGGCAAAGGCAGAGAUGUGCAAGUGGUAGGGAUGAGCCAACGCUUCCUCUACAUUACUAAAGCAAUCUGAGUGCUACAGGGGAAAGGUUGCUUCACUUAGGUAGCUACCAACUUCGAGCCUUCCUCUUUGCCGCUUAACAUUUUCCAGGUGGAUUCGUUUGCUGCUUUAGUGGCAGAUUGGUACUGUUUGGAAUGGUUUUCCUUUGAGAGUAGUGAUAGUUAGUAGUUUUGUAGUGACCAUAACUAAGCCACUUUCUGUUGUGUUUAUGCACAUGUGGUCCACCCAUGUAAAACGGUGGUGAAGGCUGCUUUCGGAUCAUCGGCGGGGACAGUGAGGUCGAUGUAUUGGGUUAAUGACCUGAUACAUUCCCGCAUUCCCGGUCCCACCUCCUUUAGCCCAUAUCUUCUGCCUGCAGUCUUGUGUGCAGCGUGCUCUGGUGGCUAAAGGCGCUCGUUAAAGUCCAUAACUUAUCUCACGUUUGAAGCUAAUGGGAAGAAUACUGGCUGCGGUGAAAAAUAAAUUACACCCCCCCCCCCCCCCCUCUCUCUUCCUACCCUCCUAACCUGUAGCGUAAUAUAGCAGAGGGGAGAGUAUGCAUUUCAGAUCUAAGGAAUUGGAAUUUAUCUGUGCUGCACAACGCUGACUGAUGCAUUUGGAAAUAAUGUACUAGAGCUGUGCAUUACAGGAACCCUUGUAACUAAUGGACAGCUCUCGCCUGUGGCCGGCGAUGUAUAUCAUUCAGCUGGACUACCUCAUCAACUCCAACAGUUCCCUGCAAGGCUUCCUAGCCAGACCAGCCACUCAGGGUUUACAUUAACGACUCCAGUCAUAAAAUCCGCCUCCCUUCCUACUCUGUCCGUAUUCUCAAACCAUUUAUUUUGUCAGUAAAUCCUUCAAUCAAGCACUCACUCACCCUACUAUUUAGUUUAAUGGCAGGUUUAUGCUAUUGAUUCUUGGUAACUUCAAUCAAAUUAUUCCGGAUAAGCUUUGUAUGUGCUACCAAACCUGCUAAAUAGCAAAAUCCAACUGUGCUGCAACUUUAGGCCCUACUAGCUCAUUGUUUUUGUUUUGCACAUCAUUGCUGUACUUAGACUGUACUUAGUCGCUGUCUCAGCGACCUCACCAUCCUCACCACUAAAUUAAAACCUUUGGCGGUGUCGUUUCUUGCCAGCAAGUGCCAACGGGUGUGUGGGUGUGUGUGUGUGUAUGUGUGUUGAGCAAAGAAGGGGAGCUUAACUGUUAUGUUGGUCUUAAGACCUUCAUUGGGUAGUUUAGUUAAAGUAAAAAAAACACUUUUUUCUUGCCUUUCAAGAAAUGCAUGUUUUUGGGAAUAUUUUGAGGACUGCCACACCUGGGCAACUAGUACAAGCUUGUAAAAGCCAAUCAAACAAUAAUGAUAUUUGAUAGUCAAAAUGCAAUCAAAAAGUGUGCUAAAUGACUUUUCCUCCAUAGUCCAUUUGAAUGCGUAUUAUUGAAUCAUUACUUUAAUACAAUGUCACUUUUUUUGCACAUACCUGACAAUAUGUACCAUAUUUUCCCAGUUUGAAUAGUGGGACUGAAAAUAAUUUAUACUAGCUCUUGACAUCAUAGGUCCACCUCCCUCCAAAUGUAUUCCUAUAAAACAUACUAUAGAAUUUAAUCCUAUUCAGUUUGACUAUAAAUCGCUGAGAUUGACAUUGUUACCCCUCUGACUUUCUAUUUCCGCAAGCAUCACAAUUGCACAUUUUUAUUUAAUGGGGUUUUGUUUUAAUAGCCACACCACACAGAAGCUAUUUGUGUCCAAAGUAAUGUAAAGAACAAGGAAUAGGCCCGCUGAAUUCCAACCGUACAGAGGUCAGAGGGACAGAAAAUGAAUAGCAAUGUUGAUUCCCCAGCGGGCAGCGCAAGAGACUAAUAAGAGCAUAACAGAAAGGGAGAACAGGGCCCUUGGGAACCAGCAUAAAGGUUUUCAGUACAUUUCUAACAGAAAAUGGUCUGAAAACAUAAUGAUGCCUGCUUUCAAAUGCAUUAGUAAUCAGGAAGGAAUUUGUUAUGAUAUGAAGCAGAAUUGAAAUUCCCCAGCAACGUUGAAGAAUUGGGUUAAAGGUGGAGGCUUGGGUUUAAUAAAGGUGAGAGGGGAGAAUAUAAAAUACAAAUGUGAUUGUGCAUGAUGGAGGCCUUUUUUCGCUCUUUUAGCAGGUAGCCUGGCCAGAGGAGAAAGGAGAAAUAUAGUGUUAGUAUUUUUGUUCACGCAACUCCUGGUGUGGUAUGACAUUAAAGGCUAAAGACUGUCGCUGUGCACAAUGAUCUAGUGUUAAUAAAGAUUUCAAAAUUGUUAUUUAACUAAUAAGUAUGCAUCACUGUAUUAGAACAAUUCUUGUGUUAUGCUGACUCUCAAAAACAAGUGUGCAUGAAAUCCUAUUAGUUAAAGUGUAAUGUAAUUAUAUCACUCAAAGGUUGGAAAAUGGAUAGUUUGCUGUAAUAUAAGGAGAGGAGAAAGUGCGGUCCAUGUGGUAGUCAAGUGCAGUCUUAAGCAAAUUGUAUGCCUUUGUGGAUGUAAGAAAAUCUGAAGUCAGCAGUAUUCCUGCUCUUUAGCUGAAUAAUUUGUGAGCAAUACCAGUGGGAUAAUACAAAAUAAAGGCUUGUAAUGACAGUCAUGGAGAAUUCAACCCCUGGCCUGCUUGUCAAUAUUGUCAUAAAAUGAAUAAACUUUUUUUCCAGAUAUAAAUUGAUCGAAUUAUUUGUAUGAAUAGAUUUGUUUGUAUCCUAAUCCUUAUGCUUUGUUAAAUCAAGUCCACUCAACAGCACCCUGUUUAUUUUCUCAAAAACACAAAAAACUGAAUGAUGACUGCAGCCUAAGUAUAUUUUUCAGUAGUGGGGGGUGCAGGUCGAGGACUCAGGUGGUCACUGUGGUAGUAUUAAGUGCUACGCAGGGUUCUUAUCGCCCCGUUGCAAUUUUUGGUGUCAGUUCGUGCUGGUAGUUGGGUGAGAUCAUUGGUUAACAAAGUAUCUCUGUGUGUUAUGCUGUAAAUGGUCCAUACGCUGGACUGUCCUGUGCUAAAGCUGGUCAGAUAAAGAGGCCGGAGGGAAGGAGGUCAGGUAUGUGCCAGCGACCUCUACCUCAACCGUGCAGACGUUGUGAAUUUCAUCUAUCUCUGGAACCAGUGAUGGGUUUGUCGGACUCCCUGUAAAACAAGCCGCUCUCAGGUAGCUGUGAACUAGAAUCACCACUCUGCAAUAGAUCUGUGCAAAGAGGAUUUGCUGGGAACUCAAACUGGAGGCCAGCAGACAGAUACCUUUUAUCUAACAGGGUGUCAUUAAAAGGUUGACUGUGCCGGUGCCAAAAUGCUCCAAAGCCCGCCCAAUUUCAUAUAAUUGACAUUGGCUGAUUAUUUACUAAAGUGCACAUUUCCAGUGUACGUUAAUCAUGGCUCCACUUGAUGUUUCAUUUUAUUAUUUCCUUUGUCAUUUUACCGUGUGGCUAUCAUUUAUAAUUUACGAAACUACAUCAUCCCAUUGGCACUGCCUUGCCUUCAACUGGGCUCAUCAGCCCUCCCAAAACUGCCUUUUCCUUUUGGGAAUGGUUGCCAAUAAUACAUAUCUAUUUCAGAGCGGUGAAUUAUCCCAAUUGUGGAAUUGCUGUCUGCCUGUAUUUAUUUUUGCUGCACAUGUGUUACAGUCCUAGCUCUCUGAUGGAUGUCCCCGCACCCUCAGCCUCUUCUUUGAUGUGGAUUAACACUGAGCUCCGUCGUUGCCCCCAGUCACUCUGCCAGCACCUUUUGAUGUUCCCUGUGUGGACUUCCAGAUAGAAUUUCUAAUAAGGAAUCAUUCUCAUUUUGAUUUCUCGCUAAAUGAGACUAGUGACCUCUGGCAUUUAGCCUAAAAACCUUGUUGGGAGAUGAAUUAACUGAGGUAGUGAUUAUAUGUGCAAGGUUGGAAUACGGUUUGAGUCUAAAGGCAGAUUGUUCUGACUAGCGGUAACAAUGCUCACCAUGUUCACGGUGAGGAACUUUGUUUGUAUUAAAAUAGAAGUCACCCACCAAUUAUGUAGACUUUAGCCAUUUUAGCUGCUUAACAAUAUUUUUUGGGGUUUUCGAAACCACACCUACGUAUGUAUUACUAAUAUAAAAGAUCUCUCAAUGAUUAUGGUACAUUAAAUCCUUUUCUAAUAUAUGUUUAAACAAUGUCAUUGCUUCAUAAGUUCUUGGUAAAAUUCCAGUAAGUGUCAAUUAAAUUAAAAAAACAAUAAAAAGUUUAGGCCUGUCUUACAAAAUUGGUCAAUGUAAAAAAAAAAAAAUAUAUAUAUAUAUAUAUAUACAUCCACAUAACGUUAGAGAGAUACAAGGCACAUAGGUGAGAGAAGUAGGAGGAUAGAUAACUGGAUGUUUGCUUCCCCAGAUGUCAUUAAGUCAAGUGAUGCAUGUGUUUUUUUCCGUUUUAAAAUCAGUAUUCUUCCCGACCGUUCAAAACACAGUGUAUAAUCUUUCAAACAUUGUUAGAGUUCAAGAGGUUCAGUCGGGGUUUAUCCUCUUUAUGGGUUAGAGACAGGAAAGGCAAAGCUAAAGUAAUGGAUGAAUUCCACUCCGUGUCUGUAAUUGGUGGGCUUAUUAGAAGGGUUCUGUUGUGAAUUAUGGCAUCACAAAAAAAACCUUUUGGGAGUGGUGGGAGACCAGGGAGCACCUGCAUGAUUCCGGGUGCCGUAUUUGGAGAGGGUAUUGUGAUUUAGUUCAAAGAGAUUCUUUUUUUCCCCAUGUACAACGAAGAGAUUGUUCAAGACCCUGGGAUGGCAAACACUUCUCAUGUGUUUUUUCCUUCAUUAUACGUCUGGAAAGUCAUCGAUAACAAGCAAGCUAAUGUUUGGCCAUGAAACUUGUGAAGAUCAAAGCAAUUGAGGUCCUUUAUUUGUGCCUAGAGAACAAAUACCCUUAAACAGAUCAAAUGCACUGCUUCUACUGAGUAAACUCUUCAAUUUUGGAGCAAUAUGUGAAAAAUACUGCAAGUAAUCCUUUCUUUUGCGUUUAGGAGUCAGAUCUCAUUGCAGUUAAUUUCAUGACGACUCCCCAUCUUUUUUAUUUUUUGUUGCCUUCCUAAUGGAUCUGCGUAUUUUCUCUCCAGCUCUACUCGAUGUUGUUGUCCAAUGCUUAAGUUCUGAAUGGUUAAUUUAGGAGGCCUUGUGCUGUUGCUGUGUCACUGUGUUGAGAGAUCAAAGAGGCUACUUAAUGCUGAGGUAAGGGAAAACUAUAACAGCUAUUUCAAACAGUGUGCAGUGUGCAGAAAUUAUGAGCAUAGUACAAUGGUCCCCUUUAGAAACAUAAAACUCCUCAAAUUUGGACAUGAUGCAGUGGGGAAGGGGCUUUAGAGCGAUCCCCUCUUGGACGCAGGAGAUAAAGGGAAGCACCGGUAUACAUGCGGCCAGGUCACAGUGCUGCAGAAGUCAACAAUCAACAAAUAAAAACGUUGGGGAGGAGGCUUAGUGCAGACUCAGAGACUGGCUCCAUCGGGGAAAACAGUGCUAUGUUUUCAAAGACCCUUUUUUGAAGGUACUGGGAGGGCUGCCCUUAGCCGAAGACAUCUGCCCCACCGUUCACAGUGAGGGGAUCUUAGGAACACACACAGCAUCGGCAAAGGUGUGUCAGUAAAUAUUUCAUUCAGAACUUCGGGUGUACUUUUUUCCUCUCCUUUGAGUCAUUGCUCUAUACUCUAUACAUUUCUUGACUAUUUUUUGAAAUGCAUCAUUCAAACACACACUCACGGCAGACUCUAAUACACAAUGACCAACUGUGCUAUAAACCUUGGCUUAGUAGAGGAGCCCAACCGUCCUAAGAAGACGCAGUGUGGACACCGGCUCAUCUCUCUCUCCACGCACUGCCCCAGGCAUCGGACUCCAGACGACACCUGACUAUUACACAUACAUCCUCUACUUCACUCUUUGUUUCUUUCUUUUUUUCCCCUUUCUACAAUUAUUCAAGUAGUAUGUUGUAGUAGUAGUAGUUGUUGUUGUAGUAGUAUGUGUGCUUAUUCAGGAUGUAUCCAUGAGUUACGGUAAACUGGUCUCCAAAAGUAAACAUGUGUUCCAACAGAUAUACAUACAGUUAACUAGAUUAGACAAAGUAACAAUACGCGUAAAUCACACACAUAGCAAUACAUGUUAGGCAUUUCUAAGCUAUUCAUGAAUAAUAAAACCUUGAAACUUGUCCCGUAUAAAGAAAUUUGUCAUUUUUAACUGUUACGGUUCGGGUUGCAAGGGUAUAUCAGUUUUAGGGUAAACCAUGGUAUGAAGAUAGUGCUGCUAACAUAUUAAACAUACCACGAGACAGCAAAAUGUUUCUUCAUAUGGUUAUUGUACCUUAGAAAUCUCAUAGAGGUGCAUUCUUAGUCUGGGUCCCUUCCUAGCAGUUUUUACUCGCCAUUCACAACUAUGUUAACCCAAUUUAACUGCGUUCAAAGUUUUUGAAAUGCUGUUAAAAUGAAAUUCUAAUGAUUGCAAAUGUUGGCCAAGGCCAAGCAGCAGAGCAGUAAGUCCCUCUAUAACGACCCCCAAGCCCAUUGGCUUCAUCAAGGACCCACGAUCUCUUGGCAUCUCAACGCAACUGGCAGUCAGCCCAGAGACUAUGGCAUUCAAUUAGCUCUAAUGAAUUAUAACAUUGUGCAAUCUGAAUCAGCUUCUCAUUCUGCAUAAUUCAAGUAUAAUUUCUGGAUGGGUUUUAUUUCAAUUACAUCAGUUACUCACAGGGCAAGAGUUCAACCGGAGAGGUAUGCAGGUCUCCAAAUAGGGCAGCUUUCUUUGUCUUUUUUUUUGUAUUAAUCUACUUAAAUUGUGCAAAAAUGAUGAGCCAACUUUUCUCUCUGCUUAUUAAAUUUGCAAGGUCAGGCACAAUGAACAAGGCCAUAAUAGCUGCUGAGAUGGUAGAUUGCCCAAUUAGAUGACUUCCUCCUAGUGAUAAGCUGCUCUCUCUGUGUACUAAAGCCCUGUGACCUUGGAAUCAUUGUGACGAUUAGUAAGAGCUGUCCUGAAUAACAGGGCUGGCUUUUAGGUGUGGAGACUUUCCCGGUAGGCUAGUUUAGUUAAAGAGGUGUCUGGUAAGCGCUGGGAAACUGCGCAAAUGGGUUCUGAUGAGAUUGUUUCAUUUGAGUUUGACCUACUGGACGUGGUGGUUAUAGUUGCUUUCAGGGACCAACCAGCUUAAAAAGGAAUAAAAAUGAACUGCCACCCUAAUGAGUGUUUAAACUUCUCGUUCAGUGCUGUAGUUUGUAUUUCACAUUACAGGCAAGUGGCAACCAUGGCAACAUCAAUCGCACGUAACGCAAACUCAUGGGUUCAGCUUACUUAAACUGUAUCUGCAAACAUGCACUAACUUUGGUUGGUUUGAACAUAAGCAUAAGAGACAGGCUUCGUUUACUUGUCUCUCAGACUCUGGUCCGGUUUGGACAGAACUAUGCAACCUGAAACACACUCCUAGAUGACAGAAACAUCCCUGUCAUGUCUUUGUUUAUUUAGUAAUCAAUUAAAUUGAAUGUUGGCUGUGAAGAAUUCUUUCUUUCCAUGUGUAGACAUAUGCUUCCCACCACGUGCCAAACAGUUUAUCUGUCUUCUCGCCAUCCCCUUCUUACUCACUAUGGUGGUAAUGCAUUGGAAGGAGAACCAAAGUCACACUACAUUAGUUUGGCGCUGGCUGUUUCUACAGAGAGCCAUUACUCUUCCCUGACAGUAUCAAAGAGAGCAGCAGAGCUGGCCUGCGCCUCCCGCUCUCUCUUCAACAUGCACCACUCGCAGGAAAUUGCCUCAUACUUCAGCAGGCAGGAGGUGAAACUGCAGCGACACCGAUGCACGUGUCACUUUCUGGUCUCGGUGCUUUGGUGGGAGAGGGUUUUGUGUCAUAUACUAAUGCUGCCGGGGGAGCAGUAGAGGUGCGCUGCCCGGGGGGAUGGGGAGAGUGACCCAAGGUGCCACAGGAGCUGACCUCGGGUUGAACACAAAGAGAGAGCAAUUCUUGACCUAUGAAAGCUGUGUGGAUUGAACCGGACUGCAGUGCAGUGGAAGCCGAAUCGUUGGCGUGUGGGUGGCAUUGACUGAUCUGGGUAGAUGCUAAUAGUUUCAGUGUUUCCCCAUGGUUUACCACUCUGUCGGGGGGUGGUGGGGUGGUAGUCGGGCAAACUGACCGGCCAACGAGGGGGUAGUAAACGUGCUGCCUCUGCCUUUCUUGCGGGGGGUGCCCCCCUUUAUGGAUGGUAGGGGGAAACACUGAGCUUGUCUCACCUCUCUGUUAUGGACAAGACAUUUGUAAAUAGCCUGCGUAGUAAUUCAGCAGUGACUGAUGGAGGGCAGAACAGGUGGGAUAGUCAGCUUUUUUUAAAGUUUUAAUCUAAAACUUUUAAAACAACCUUUUUUAAAAGACUUUCAGCUGGAGCAUUGAUUAUCUAGAGUGUAAUACUGUAAAAUAAAAUGCGAGUAUCUGAAUUCAUCAGAAAUAAUUUUUUGGAAAAGGCAUAAGAUAAUUGCAGAAGAAGGGGGAGGAAUAAUUCCGAGGGAUGGAAUGGGACGUGAAUCGUAGGAUGUGAUUGUCUUUUCCCGCCCUGAUCAGCUCUACCCUCUGGACAUUGUUGGGAGUAGUUCACAUGUUCACAUAUUGCACUGUUGUAGCGUAGCUCCUGUAUUGAAAAGCUCAGUAAGUAGUGUAAUUGAAAGAGAGAAAGAGAGUGGCGGUGAAAUGGCGCAGAGCACAAUUAGGUUGGCGAACAUAGCAGAAAGGGAAAUGUAGCAAUGACCUAGAGUGUCUAUUGUACAGUACUGGUUUCAGUUUCCCCAUGAAUAUAAAGCAAAGCUAUUCAAGACCCAAGUUCCUGUGUCCUGUGGAUGGAGCCAUAGUCAAUGUCUGAUAUUGUAACUGCUAGGGGAUCAAUACGAUUCAUACAUAUUUUUAAUAUUUCAAUGUUCUCAACAGGCUUGUUGUUUUGUAAUAUUUGAAUAGCUCAAUGAAGAUAUGCUUGACAUGCAUCAAUUGAUCUUCAGUUCAGCAGUUUGCCACUACAUUUUUCACCCUACUGUUUAUACUUCUGAGUAAUUUGUUAACAAAUACUGAUGACAGAUGUACAACGUCGGUCCAAGAGUUGUUUGCUUUUAUUACAUUCUGUAAACGAGAACAAGCUAGUGACAUUUUCAAAGCUGUGGAAAGUGGAUGUUAUGAGUUCACCUGAAGCCCAAUCAGCACUUCAGCUUCUCUGAAGCACAGCUUAAAUAGACUUUAAGAUAAUGCCGUUUUUCAUCAUAAGUCAAAUGUAAUACAUUUUAGCAAAACCCUACCCUGUAUGUGGACCAUACUUUAAUAGAUAGGAGGGAAACAUUUUUCAAUGUUGGGCGGGGAUUACGAAUGUGUUGGUACCAUUCCAGCUUUUCUCGCAUCUCGCCAAGCCGCACCCAUCAUUCUGCGCAGACGUCUGGAGAGGACAAAUGUUUAUUGCUAUUACAAAGCAGCCUUUGUUGUGAUCGUGUGUGCUCUCUGUCCCCUACUUCUUGUUUCGACUCUCCUUUCAUAUUGGGCCGUGCUGGGGGGAUUGGUGCAGCCCGCCGCCUCUGCGGCUCUGUGAUUAGAAAGGGAGGGAGGGAGAGUGCUUCUCAGCAGGACUCUCUGUUUUAUAUUCAUCAAAAGAGGUGCCUUUGAUUUGCUCCCUCUUUGACGUGUGACAGCAUGGGCUGCAGCACCACACUGCUGCUAAGGAAAUCGUACACUUACCCCCCCCCUCUUCCACACACCCUUUGUCCCUUCUCUCCUUCCUGCUACCCUCAAGCCAUGUCCCUCCAACCCGCCGAUAAAGCCCAUCGCCUCAUCCCUCUGUAGUCUAACCCCCCAGGCCAGUGCACCACCUUAUUAAUUUCUCCAUUAUCAUUGAUAUUGCUGCUCGCCUCAAAUCGUCAGGCUUUUGCCAAGGUCAUCCUUGCUAAGGAAUAUGCCCCGCCUCAUCCUUGCACCUCCCAUCUUGAGAAACCGAGAGAUAGACAUGCUGAAAAAAUGGUGAGCUCACACGCAAGACAGACUGCUGACUUUAAUAAAGGAUGUAGAGAAUAAAGAAAGAUACAAUGCAGGAUAACUAAAACUCUUGAGUGGAGCAGGAUGAUGAGGAUACGAUGUUGACAAUGGCAAAGAUAAAAAUGAGUCAUGUUAUUGUCUUGUUUUAUACAUUGUUGAUUCCACCAACAGUAUUUUAGUUUAGCCUUUUUAUUUUUGAUGUAUAGGUAUAUUUUUCGGUGAAAAUUGUUAGUUUGGGGUUGUGUAUGCGUUUGUGACCAUGGCUAUACCUAUACAUGGGUGUGACCUUCAGCUAUUACUCUGCUGGAAGAAAUCUGAUGUUUCCCAUGUGUUGACACAGGAGCCCAGCCUCAACCAUCCCAUCAGUCAAUUUCGCCAAGUCUGUGAUAACUCACACUGCAAUCACAUACACAUUCAUCCAUACACCUCCACCUCGCUGUUCAAACACUGUCCCAUUUUCCCUUUGCUGCACACACACACACACACACACACACGGAUGCAUAUGUUUGAACAGGACUGCUCUGUACCUCAGAGACCGAGCUGGUUAUUAACAUUAUAAAUUAUUGAAGACAUUGCCAACUCUAGAAACACUGUUGGAAAGAGACAAGAUGCAGGAAAGAGAAAGUGUGUUUGUGUUUGAUCCACGAUGGACAAACUAAGGCCAGUUGUGGGCGUCUGCUUCUGCAAUAGUUUGCCUCAUUCACGCCUAUUGAAGAAGCUAUAGACAAAGACCUUAACAUAUAGUAAAACACCUGGUAGCACAGCACAUGUUGUACCAUAGCAGUUUUGGCUGUAGCUAGAGUGCAGAAGCAAAGUAUAUUCUCCAGGCUUUGGCACAAUACUUGUGUACAUAUUGAUGUAAAAUAGAUACAUACACCCCCACUGCUUAAAUGAUUUACUUUGUAUCCUUGUGCUGCAUAUCAGACAGAGGAACAGAAAAGCCCCCCCCCCCCCCCUUAUUGAUCAAAAAUUCCUGUUGCAAUGGCUUUGUCAAACAGUGUGAGAAAGGAUCCAGCUGUGAGCCUGAGCUGUGAGGCUGCGAUGUUUACAUUACCUCAUCACUAUAUGACUUGUUUCUCCCGCUUUGUCUCAACGUGACUCUCUUGACAAGAAGCAUUCAGUCCAUCAGCGCUGCUUUAGGUCUUGACCAAUACAAGAAUGCCAACUGAAGUGAGAAGGCAUUAAAGUAAUAGCUAGUUGCUGUGCAUGAAUAUUAACGGGGUGUGGAGGUCACAGCACCUUUCGAUGUGCACGUAUGCAUAGGUUUGAUUUAGCUGUCAGCUGCGACGAGUUGGAUUGGAGUUUGAUGCUGUGCUCUCACUGUGUGAUAGCCCUCCUCAGCAGAUGACACCAGACUGUUCAAGGUGAACACCAUGUAGCCCUGUCUACAUGCAUGCAUCUUAUCACAGUCUCCCUAAUGGUCCUUCACUUAGCCUCUGAGGCAUCUUCUCCAGCACUCAAGCCAACGUCACCCUCUGUCAUUUCAAAUGUUCACUUGCACCAGUGAGCAGAUACAGAACGUUGGACUCUUUUCUCCUCUCUGACACUUGACAGAAAGGGACUGCAAAAGAGACAAGGGUAGAUGAGAGGAAAAUGAAUGAAGAGUGAGAGGGUUGUUAAAGUCGGCAACAUUGCACUUUGUGCUGCUCCCUGUAAUCUCAGAAGCCAAUGGUUUGGCGUGUCAGGGUUAAGGGUCUUGCUCGACUUGAGACAUGGGGAGGCCGGGACUCGAACCACCAACCUUGCGGUUCCCAGCACACCCGCUCUACCCCCUGCGCCACGACAAUGGCAGAACAAUGGCACUGUUGAGAACCAAGAGUGUUUUGUUUGUUUUUUUACUACGUACAUUUUUGGCA